GACGAACGCUGGCGGCGUGCUUAACACAUGCAAGUCGAACGGAAAGGCCCUGCUGUUGUGGGGUGCUCGAGUGGCGAACGGGUGAGUAACACGUGAGUAACCUGCCCUUGACUUUGGGAUAACUUCAGGACACUGGGGCUAAUACCGGAUAGGAGCUCCUGCGGCAUGGUGGGGGUUGGAAAGUUUCGGCGGUUGGGGGUGGACUCGCGGCUUAUCAGCUUGUUGGUGGGGUAGUGGCUCACCAAGGCUUUGACGGGUAGCCGGCCUGAGAGGGUGACCGGGGACACUAGGGGAGUGAUACGGCGCCGACACCUCCGGGGGGGAGCGGAGGGGAAAAUAGCGGAAUAGGCGGGAGCCUGAUGUAGCAACGCCGCGUGCGGGAUGACGGGCUUCGCGUUGUAUACCGCUCUUGCCGGUGACGAAGAGUAAGUGACGGUAAUUGGUAAAGAAGCAACGGCUAACUACGUG
rnacentral:rRNA from 1 species